rnacentral:tRNA from 1 species
GAGGGUGUGGCUCAAAUGUAGAGCACAUACUUAGCAUGAACAAGGUGCUGGGUUCAAUUCCCAGUACCUCCU